rnacentral:rRNA from 2 species
AUACCGUGAAACUGCGAAUGGCUCAUUAAAUCAGUUAUCGUUUAUUUGAUAGUACCUUACUACUUGGAUAACCGUGGUAAUUCUAGAGCUAAUACAUGCUGAAAACCCCAACUUCGGGAGGGGUGUAUUUAUUAGAUAAAAAACCAACGCCCUUUCGGGGCUUCUUGGUGAUUCAUGAUAACUUAACGGAUCGCAUGGCCUUGCGCCGGCGACGGUUCAUUCAAAUUUCUGCCCUAUCAACUUUCGAUGGUAAGGUAUUGGCUUACCAUGGUUUCAACGGGUAACGGGGAAUUAGGGUUCGAUUCCGGAGAGGGAGCCUGAGAAACGGCUACCACAUCCAAGGAAGGCAGCAGGCGCGCAAAUUAUCCAAUCCCGACACGGGGAGAUAGUGACAAUAAAUACUGAUACAGGGCUCUUUUGGGUCUUGUAAUUGGAAUGAGUACAAUUUAAACCUCUUAACGAGGAACAAUUGGAGGGCAAGUCUGGUGCCAGCAGCCGCGGUAAUUCCAGCUCCAAUAGCGUAUAUUAAAGUUGUUGCAGUUAAAAAGCUCGUAGUUGAACCUUGGGUCUGGCUGGCAGGUCCGCCUCACCGCGUGUACUUGUCCGGCCGGGCCUUCCUUCUGGAGAACCUCAUGCCCUUCACUGGGCGUGUUGGGGACCAGGACUUUUACUUUGAAAAAAUUAGAGUGUUCAAAGCAGGCCUUUGCUCGAAUACGUUAGCAUGGAAUAAUAAAAUAGGACGUGCGGUCCUAUUUUGUUGGUUUCUAGGACCGCCGUAAUGAUUAAUAGGGACAGUCGGGGGCAUCAGUAUUCAAUUGUCAGAGGUGAAAUUCUUGGAUUUAUUGAAGACUAACUACUGCGAAAGCAUUUGCCAAGGAUGUUUUCAUUAAUCAGUGAACGAAAGUUAGGGGAUCGAAGACGAUCAGAUACCGUCGUAGUCUUAACCGUAAACUAUGCCGACUAGGGAUCGGGCGAUGUUCUUUUUCUGACUCGCUCGGCACCUUACGAGAAAUCAAA